GUUAGGCCUCAUAUCAGGCGGAAAAUCCCCGAUGGGUGACCUUUUAUCAUUUAAUCUUAACGACCUAAACCCUUACUCUUUCUCAUCUUUCGUUCGUCUGCCUCUUAUGAAAUCGAAAUUCACUCUCACAAAUCAAAUCGAAAUCUUACACCAUCUCAAAAUCAAACCCAUUUACCAGCGGAAAUCAAAAGCAAACCCUUUUUUUAUAACCUUAGAUCAAGUUGCUUUGCUCCUGAAACCCUAGGGUUUCAAUAAUGGGAAGAAGAAUCUAUCGAUCUCAAGAUUCAAGAUAUGGAUUCAUCAUCAACGAAAUCAUAUAUGUGAAAAUCAGAUUUGAUGGUUAGGGAUUUAAAUUCGUCGAGGUUUAUGAUGUGCUGAAGAACCAGACACGGAAGGGCCUAGUGCUAUUGCCAUUUCCUUAGCAACCUUUACUGCUUUAUCAUUGGGGUAUAUGUAUGAGGUUGUCAAGGAUAACCUGAUCAGAAGUUUAUUUUUUUCCCUAUUCAUAAAUAUAGUAAGUUGUUUGGGAGAAUGUUUCUUUGGAUAAUUCAUUGGUUGUACCACAUCAUUGAUUCCAUUAUGGAGAUUUGAAGGUUUACAUAAAAUGGCAGAAGGGUUCUAAAGGCUUAAGCAAAUUUACGUGCAUUCAUUUUGCAAAUAUAAUAUAUGUGAUGAGUGGACCAAUGAACAACUCAAGCACAGUACAGGGGGGCUGAAUUUUCUCAAAUAGAUUUUAGGGCACCAAAGAAGACAAAUAUGCUUCCCGGAGAGCGAUUCCCCCUAUGCUUCAAGCCGAGGAGGAUGAAAGAUUCGCCAUCCGAUGGAAAAAGUAUCUAGAGGAAGAAGCGUGAAUCAUGACGGAUGUUCCAGGCUGGAAGGUCGGUGAAAGGGUUUAACACUCUCAUGAUGUCUGAUGACGAAGGAUACUCUGAGGAGGAACCGGGGGAGCAAGAUGUUGAUAUUGAGAACCAAUACUACAGCUCUAAAGGUUUGGUUGAAACUGAUCCCGAAUGAGCAUUGAAAGGAUUUUCUGAAGUGGUGCUUGUUGAACUGGGUAUGUCAGAAGGGCAAGUUUCGUAAAAUGCUAAGCCUGCCAUCUAGUGGAUGGGGAAGAGCCAUGAAGUGAAUUUAUGCAUCUAGGUUGUCUAAGGAAGAUUCUCAACAAUGAACUAAUGGCAGAACCAAUCAGUUAGCAGUGUAGGGAAAGAAGGUACAGUCAUUGUGGGUAAAAUGCAAAAGUAUAUGAAGAUUGUUAAUAAAUGUAAUAUCUUGGAAGCACCCAAGUUAAUUUCACAACCUGGACUUCCACCUGAGGAAGCAGGGGCCACGAUAGCUGACGAAUCUUUGGUUUCGUUAUUAAUUUUAUUUUUAUUAUUAAUUUAUUUUAGAAAUUGUAUCCAAAGAUUCUAUUUGUUUGAAUAUUAUUUUGGGUAACUGAUAGAAAGUUAUUUCUAACCGUUUUU